rnacentral:rRNA from 1 species
CCUACGGGUGGCAGCAGUGAGGAAUAUUGGUCAAUGGACGAGAGUCUGAACCAGCCAAGUAGCGUGAAGGAUGACUGCCCUAUGGGUUGUAAACUUCUUUUAUAUGGGAAUAAAAUGUUCCACGUGUGGGAUUUUGUAUGUACCAUAUGAAUAAGGAUCGGCUAACUCCGUGCCAGCAGCCGCGGUAAUACGGAGGAUCCGAGCGUUAUUCGGAUUUAUUGGGUUUAAAGGGAGCGUAGGUGGAUUGUUAAGUCAGUUGUGAAAGUUUGCGGCUCAACCGUAAAAUUGCAGUUGAAACUGGCAGUCUUGAGUACAGUAGAGGUGGGCGGAAUUCGUGGUGUAGCGGUGAAAUGCUCAGAUAUCACGAAGAACUCCGAUUGCGAAGGCAGUUCACUGGACUGCAACUGACACUGAGGCUCGAAAGUGUGGGUAUCAAACAGGAUUAGAUACCCGAGUAGUC